AACGAACGCUGGCGGCAGGCCUAACACAUGCAAGUCGAACGCUCCGCAAGGGGAGUGGCGCACGGGUGAGUAACACGUGGGAACCUACCUUCUGGUACGGAACAACCAAGGGAAACUUUGGCUAAGACCGUAUACGACCUCCGGGUGAAAGAUUGAUCGCCGGAAGAGGGGCCCGCGUCCGAUUAGGUAGUUGGUGAGGUAACGGCUCACCAAGCCUUCGAUCGGUAGCUGGUCUGAGAGGAUGACCAGCCACACUGGGACUGAGACACGGCCCAGACUCCUACGGGAGGCAGCAGUGGGGAAUAUUGGACAAUGGGGGAAACCCGUGAUCCAGCGACGCCGCGUGUGUGAAGAAGGCCUGCGGGUUGU
rnacentral:rRNA from 1 species